rnacentral:rRNA from 1 species
GUGGGGAAUAUUGGACAAUGGGCGAAAGCCUGAUCCAGCCAUGCCGCGUGUGUGAAGAAGGUCUUCGGAUUGUAAAGCACUUUAAGUUGGGAGGAAGGGCAGUAAGUUAAUACCUUGCUGUUUUGACGUUACCGACAGAAUAAGCACCGGCUAACUUCGUGCCAGCAGCCGCGGUAAUACGAAGGGUGCAAGCGUUAAUCGGAAUUACUGGGCGUAAAGCGCGCGUAGGUGGUUUUGUAAGUUGGAGGUGAAAUCCCCGGGCUCAACCUGGGAACUGCCUCAAAAAGUGCAUGACUAGAGUACGGUAGAGGGUAGUGGAAUUUCCUGUGUAGCGGUGAAAUGCGUAGAUAUAGGAAGGAACACCAGUGGCGAAGGCGACUACCUGGACUGAUACUGACACUGAGGUGCGAAAGCGUGGGGAGCAAACAGGAUUAGAUACCCGAGUAGUCC